UGAGUCAACGCCGAUAUCUUGAGUUUCCGGCCACCUUUCUUUGUGAUUCUUGGCUUGAUGAACUCGCCUUGAGUUUCUGAACCAGUCUCCAGGAGGAAUCGAAGCGAGUGGUGGACGUUUUCACGCUGAUCGGAGCUCACGCCGGAUUCUGGAAAAAUUCCGGCCACCGUGACUGAGUUUGGUGAUUGACGGUCUCCCUUGGGUGAGCGAUUUCGGUGUGUAUUGUGUUGAAUUGAAGACGCAGCGGGAAUAUCGAGCGGGUAAUCCUACAGGUCAGGAGAAUCAGGACGGUGAUCGUGCGGGUUAGAGAAUUUGUUUUAGUUUUACAGCAAUUGUAAUUGUGAGGUGAGUUAUGCUCAUUUGAGCCUUACAAUAUAAUUUGGUGAGAGUGUGCUGUAAUAAACAAAUUUGAGAUUUGGUU